rnacentral:rRNA from 1 species
UACAGAGGGGGCAAGCGUUGUUCGGAAUUACUGGGCGUAAAGGGCGCGUAGGCGGCCUGCUAAGUCGAACGUGAAAUCCCCCGAGCUCAACUCGGGAACUGCGUCCGAUACUGGUUGGCUUGAAUCCGGGAGAGGGAUGCGGAAUUCCAGGUGUAGCGGUGAAAUGCGUAGAUAUCUGGAGGAACACCGGUGGCGAAGGCGGCAUCCUGGACCGGCAUUGACGCUGAGGCGCGAAAGCCAGGGGAGCAAACGGG